rnacentral:rRNA from 1 species
CCUACGGUGAGCUGCAGUGAGGAAUAUUGGUCAAUGGACGAGAGUCUGAACCAGCCAAGUAGCGUGAAGGAUGACUGCCCUAUGGGUUGUAAACUUCUUUUAUAAAGGAAUAAAACGAGGCACGUGUGCCUUUUUGCAUGUACUUUAUGAAUAAGGAUCGGCUAACUCCGUGCCAGCAGCCGCGGUAAUACGGAGGAUCCGAGCGUUAUCCGGAUUUAUUGGGUUUAAAGGGAGCGUAGAUGGGUUGUUAAGUCAGUUGUGAAAGUUUGCUGCUCAACCGUAAAAUUGCAAUUGACACUGGCAGUCUUGAGUACAGUGGAGGUAGGCGGAAUUCGUGGUGUAGCGGUGAAAUGCUUAGAUAUCACGAAGAACCCCGAUUGCGAAGGCAGCUUACUAAACUGUGACUGACAUUGAUGCUCGAAAGUGUGGGUAUCAAACAGGAUUAGAUACCCCUGUAGUC